rnacentral:rRNA from 1 species
UACAGAGGAUGCAAGCGUUAUCCGGAAUUAUUGGGCGUAAAGAGCUCGUAGGCGGUUUGUCGCGUCUGCUGUGAAAACUCGAGGCUCAACCUCGGGCUUGCAGUGGGUACGGGCAGACUAGAGUGCGGUAGGGGUGACUGGAAUUCCUGGUGUAGCGGUGGAAUGCGCAGAUAUCAGGAGGAACACCGAUGGCGAAGGCAGGUCACUGGGCCGCAACUGACGCUGAGGAGCGAAAGCAUGGGGAGCGAACAGG